GGAUUGGCGCAUCGGUCGUGCCUUACGGGGUAUGAACUGGUGCAGUCAAUUUCUCACCUUCUGGAGAACCGCGAUGUCCUUAAUUGGGUGCCGCGGGGAACCAGGACCUUUACUUUGAAAAAAUUAGAGUGUUUAAAGCAGGCAUUUUUGCUUGAAUACAUUAGCAUGGAAUAAUAAAAU
rnacentral:rRNA from 1 species